GACGAACGCUGGCGGCGUGCUUAACACAUGCAAGUCGAACGCAUCCUUCGGGGUGAGUGGCAGACGGGUGAGUAACGCGUGGGAACGUGCCCUUCAGUUCGGGAUAACCCAGGGAAACUUGGGCUAGUACCGGAUACGUGCGAGAGCAGAAAGAUUUAUCGCUGAAGGAUCGGCCCGCGUCUGAUUAGCUAGUUGGUGGGGUAAUGGCCCACCAAGGCGACGAUCAGUAGCUGGUCUGAGAGGAUGAUCAGCCACAUUGGGACUGAGACACGGCCCAAACUCCUACGGGAGGCAGCAGUGGGGAAUAUUGGACAAUGGGCGCAAGCCUGAUCCAGCCAUGCCGCGUGAGUGAUGAAGGCCUUAGGGUUGUAAAGCUCUUUCGUCCGGGACGAUAAUGACGGUACCGGAAGAAGAAGCCCCGGCUAACUUCGUGCCAGCAGCCGCCGUAA
rnacentral:rRNA from 1 species